GACGAACGCUGGCGGCGUGCUUAACACAUGCAAGUCGAACGGGCCUUGUCCCCUUUUUUUUGGGGGUGGGGUUAGUGGCGAACGGGUGAGUAACACGUGAGUAACCUGCCCCUCACUUCUGGAUAACCGCUUGAAAGGGUGGCUAAUACAGGGUGUUCUGGCCUGCUCGCAUGGGUGGGUUUGGAAAGAUUCGACCGGUUUUGGUUGUUUUGGUGGGGGAUGGGCUCGCGGCCUAUCAGCUUGUUGGUGGGGUGAUGGCCUGCCAAGGCUUUGACGGGUAGCCGGCCUGAGAGGGUGGGCGGUCACACUGGGACUGAGACACGGCCCAGACUCCUACGGGAGGCAGCAGUGGGGAAUAUUGCACAAUGGGCGCAAGCCUGAUGCAGCGACGCCGCGUGAGGGAUGGAGGCCUUCGGGUUGUGAACCUCUUUCGCCAGUGAAGAAGGUCCUGCUCUUUGUGGUGGGGUUGACGGUAGCUGGGUUAAUGAAGCGCCGGCUAACUACGUG
rnacentral:rRNA from 1 species